AGAAAGAGAGAGAGAGAGAGAGAGAGAGAGAGAGAGAGAGAGGGAGAGAGAGAGAGAGAAAGAGAGAGAGAGAUAUGAUAGAAAGCGAUGAUGUUUGAAGAUCAGAAUCAACUUUUAUUUACCGUAAUACCGAUUUCCACCAAUAGGAGGAAAUGAAAUAAACAGCUGAUCGAAUCUUUAAUAUUAUUAUCUUUCCCCAUUUUCUAAUAUAUAUUUCCUAUCAUGCGUUAUAGUUUCCAUGAAUGACUACUCAAGUCUAAAGUAUUGGUAGUGAAAGUUUUGCUCGGAGCAGGAAGAAAAAAAAAAAAAAAAAAAAGGAAGAAAGAAAGAAAGAAAGAAAAAAAAGACGAAAAAAGAAAAAAAAGUAUAUAAUACGGCGUUAGAAUAUAUACGUGUGUAUCUCUGUGUGCGGGUGUAGGUGUGUGUGUAUGUGUGUAUUUUACGGUGUUUUACGAUGAAGAAAUUCACUUUCAAAAGGGAAACAAUUGCAUCUAGAUUUUAUUAAUAGAGACUCCUGUAUGGACGAUGAUGCUGGAUAUGUCGUCGUGAGUAUGUAUAUACACGUGAGUAAGUGAAUAGCCAAUAAUCGAUAUCCCAAGAGUAAAUGAGAUCGACGAUGGGACGACCUUCUUCCUUCUCCUUUUUCAUUGAAAUAUUAAAAGGCUUGUGUCUGCGGACCCAAUUGCAAGUCAUUAAUUGCCAGUGAUCAAGCAACAACUGCUGGAGCUCGCUAAGUUAAUUACUAAGGAUCAUCGAACGAUCCUCGUGCUCGAUCGGUAAUAGGAAUUCCAAAGGUAGAAAAUGGCAUCGAAAAAGACCAACAGGAAGAAAGUUAGGAAUUGGAAUGUGUUGGCGAGCAAUGUUCGGACAUCAACCUCGGGCACUCGGCCCGCGUUUACCACACACAUACACACACAAACACACAAGCACACCCGUUGAUCCAUCCAUCCAUCCAUCCAUCCAUCCAUCCAUACAUUUAUUCAUCGAACAUUAUCCAUCCUUGGAUCGUAAUUCGUCUUUUACUAGACGUUUAUUUGUAUUAAAGAAUUAACCUGCAUAUAUCUAUACAUGUGUGUGUGUAUGUGUGUGUACACGUGCGUUUAUGCGCGUGAAUUGUGUGCAAUUGUCGUGCAAGUCAGUAUAUUCUAACGAUGUUAGUAUAUUCUUACUGCAACUGAAUUAUUGCGUUUGAGUUAUUUCAACGAUUCAAACGUUAAAAGAUAAGAGAUAUUUUACAUUAGGUGGGCCAAAAAUUUCUUCUUCUUUUUUUUUUUUUGUUUUUUUUUUUUUCAAGUGGACCAAAACUUUUUUUUUUAAAUUGGCCAAUAUCGAUCGACCGAUUUUAUUACAAAACCUAUUACACUAUUUUGAGAGGACGUUUUGUUAAGCUCGCAGUUAGAAUUGAGAUUUUACGAGUGUUGCUUGGAGUUUUGUAAAUAUCCUCAAUAAAAAUGUCUAUAAUAAAAUGUUUCGAAAAAAGAAAAAAAAUAUAAUCGAUUUUUCGAAAAAAAAAAAAAAAAAUCCAAGAACUUUUGAACCGCCUAAAAACUUUGGCCCCUUCUUCCUCCUCCCCUCCCCCCUUUUUAUUUAAACGAGUCAAAAGUAAUUAUCAACUGAUAUCGAAAGACGAUUAUACAUGUUUGAAGUAAUUUAAUUGCGUAAUUAGGUUUUUGAUUUUAUAAACUGAAAAGUUAAUAUUUUACUAAUUCGCGAAAGAGAUUAAUAUGAAAAUAUUUUCGAAAAGGAUGAUUAAUCGUUUUAUU